rnacentral:lncRNA from 1 species
GGGUGUCACUUAUGGGGCAGCGCGGUCACUUAUGGGUCUCUGGGCGUCACUUAUGGGUCUCGGGGCGUCACUUAUGGGGCAGCGCGGUCACUUAUGGGUCUCGGGGUGUCACUUAUGGGUCUUGGGGCGUCACUUAUGGGGCAGCGCGGUCACUUAUGGGUCUCUGGGCGUCACUUAUGGGGCAGUGCUGUCACUUAUGGGUCUCGUGGCGUCACUUGUGGGGCAGGCUUGAAUUACUACGUGCGCAUCCUGAGCANCCAGCCCCACGGCUGACCCCCGUAGCCGCCCCACAGAAGCUGCAGCAGGAGCUGGAGUUCCUGGAGGUGCAGGAGAACUGACCCCCCCCCAUAACCACCCCUAGCCCCAUAGCUGCCCCAUAGCUGCUCCAUAGCCACCCUCAGCCCCAUAGCCGCCCCAUAGCUGCCCCACAUCCACCUCCAGCCCCAUGGCUGACCCCCGUAGCCGCCCCACAGAAGCUGCAGCAGGAGCUGGAGUUCCUGGAGGUGCAGGAGAACUGACCCCCCCCCCAUAUCCACCCCUAGCCCACCCCAUAUCCACUCCCAGCCCCAUAGCUGCCCCGUAGUCGCCCCAUAGCUGACCCAUACCCGCUCCCCAGCCGCAUAGCCGCCCCAUAGCUGCCCCAUAGUCAGCCCCAGCCCCACGGCUGACCCACAGCAGCUGCAGGAGGAGCUGCAGGUGCAGGAGGACUGAUCCCCCCUAUAGCCACCCCCAGCCCCAUAGCCGCCCCAUAGGUGCCCCAUAGCCGCCCCACAACCACCCCCAGCCCCACGGCUGACCCCCACAGCCGCCCCACAGAAGCUGCAGCAGGAGCUGGAGUUCCUGGAGGUGCAGGAGAACUGACCCCCCCCAUAGCCACUUCUAGGCCACCCCAUAUCCACUCCCAGCCCCAUAGCCGCCCCAUAGCCUCCCCAUAGCCACCCCCAGCCCCACGGCUGACCCCCGUAGCCGCCCCACAGAAGCUGCAGCAGGAGCUGGAGUUCCUGGGAGUGCAGGAGGACACACCCCCCCCAUAACUACCCCCAACCUACCCCAUAGCCACCCCCAGCCCCAUGGCUGCCCCGUAGCUGCCUCAUAGCUGCCCCAUACCUGCUCCCCAGCCCCAUAGCUGCCCCAUAGCUGCCCCAUACCUGCUCCCCAGCCCCAUAGCUGCCCCAUAACCACCCCCAGCCCCACUGCUGAUCCACAGAAGCUGCAGCAGGAGCUGGAGUUCCUGGAGGUGCAGGAGGACACAUGCCCCCCUUAACAACCCCCAACCUGCCCCAGAGCCACCCCCAGCCCCAUAGCCGCCCCACAUCCACCCCCAGCCCCACGGCUGAC